UGAGUUGGUGCUAUCAUACU
rnacentral:miRNA from 1 species